AGUGAACGCUGGCGGUAGGCCUAACACAUGCAAGUCGAACGGCAGCACAGUAAGAGCUUGCUCUUACGGGUGGCGAGUGGCGGACGGGUGAGGAAUACAUCGGAAUCUACUUUUUCGUGGGGGAUAACGUAGGGAAACUUACGCUAAUACCGCAUACGACCUACGGGUGAAAGCAGGGGAUAUUCGGACCUUGCGCGAUUGAAUGAGCCGAUGUCGGAUUAGCUAGUUGGCGGGGUAAAGGCCCACCAAGGCAACGAUCCGUAGCUGGUCUGAGAGGAUGAUCAGCCACACUGGAACUGAGACACGGUCCAGACUCCUACGGGAGGCAGCAGUGGGGAAUAUUGGACAAUGGGCGCAAGCCUGAUCCAGCCAUACCGCGUGAGUGAAGAAGGCCUUCGGGUUGUAAAGCCCUUUUGUUGGGAAAGAAAAGCAGCAGGUUAAUACCCCGCUGUUCUGACGGUACCCAAAGAAUAAGCACCGGCUAACUUCGUG
rnacentral:rRNA from 1 species